UACGAAGGGGGCUAGCGUUGCUCGGAAUUACUGGGCGUAAAGCGCACGUAGGCGGAUCGUUAAGUCGGGGGUGAAAUCCUGGAGCUCAACUCCAGAACUGCCUUCGAUACUGGCGAUCUCGAGUUCGGGAGAGGUGAGUGGAACUGCGAGUGUAGAGGUGAAAUCGUAGAUAUUCGCAAGAACACCAGUGGCGAAGGCGGCUCACUGGCCCGAUACUGACGCUGAGGUGCGAAAGCGUGGGGAGCAAA
rnacentral:rRNA from 1 species